GAUGAACGCUGGCGGCGUGCCUAAUACAUGCAAGUCGAGCGAACGGACGAGAAGCUUGCUUCUCUGAUGUUAGCGGCGGACGGGUGAGUAACACGUGGAUAACCUACCUAUAAGACUGGGAUAACUUCGGGAAACCGGAGCUAAUACCGGAUAAUAUUUUGAACCGCAUGGUUCAAAAGUGAAAGACGGUCUUGCUGUCACUUAUAGAUGGAUCCGCGCUGCAUUAGCUAGUUGGUAAGGUAACGGCUUACCAAGGCAACGAUGCAUAGCCGACCUGAGAGGGGGGUCGGCCACACUGGCAAUGGGAAACGGUCCAGACUACUACGGGAGGCAACAGUAGGGAAUUUUGCGCAAUGGGCGAAAGCCUGACGGAGGAACGCCGAGUGAGUGAUGAAGGUCUUUGGAUCGUAAAACUCUGUUAUUCGGGAAGAACCUAUGUGUAAGUAAAUGUGCACAUCUUGACGGUACCUAAUCAGAAAGCCACGGCUAACUACGUG
rnacentral:rRNA from 1 species